UACGUAGGGCGCAAGCGUUGUCCGGAAUUAUUGGGCGUAAAGAGCUCGUAGGCGGUCUGUUGCGUCCGCUGUGAAAACCCAGGGCUUAACCCUGGGCUUGCAGUGGAUACGGGCAGACUAGAGGCAGGUAGGGGAGAAUGGAAUUCCCGGUGUAGCGGUGAAAUGCGCAGAUAUCGGGAGGAACACCGGUGGCGAAGGCGGUUCUCUGGGCCUGACCUGACGCUGAGGUGCGAAAGCGUGGGGAGCAAACAGG
rnacentral:rRNA from 1 species